rnacentral:piRNA from 1 species
UGACAAUACUUUACACAAUUUAUCCCUUGC